rnacentral:rRNA from 1 species
AUUGAACGCUGGCGGCAUGCCUUACACAUGCAAGUCGAACGGUAACGGGCCUUCGGGUGCCGACGAGUGGCGAACGGGUGAGUAAUGCAUCGGAACGUACCUUUCAGUGGGGGAUAACGUAGCGAAAGUUACGCUAAUACCGCAUAUUCUGUGAGCAGGAAAGCAGGGGAUCGCAAGACCUUGCGCUGAUUGAGCGGCCGAUGUCAGAUUAGCUAGUUGGUGAGGUAAAGGCUCACCAAGGCGACGAUCUGUAGCGGGUCUGAGAGGAUGAUCCGCCACACUGGGACUGAGACACGGCCCAGACUCCUACGGGAGGCAGCAGUGGGGAAUUUUGGACAAUGGGCGAAAGCCUGAUCCAGCCAUGCCGCGUGAGUGAAGAAGGCC